rnacentral:misc_RNA from 1 species
GAUGAAGAACGCAGCGAAAUGCGAUAAGUAAUGUGAAUUGCAGAAUUCAGUGAAUCAUCGAAUCUUUGAACGCACAUUGCGCCCCUUGGUAUUCCGAGGGGCAUGCCUGUUCGAGCGUCAUUAUAACCCCUCAAGCUUAGCUUGGUGUUGGGGCCUGCUGUAAUAGAGCAGCCCUUAAAAUCAGUGGCGGUGCCAUUAGGCUCUAAGCGUAGUAAUUCUUCUCGCUAUAGGGUUCUGGUGGAUGCUUGCCAUUAACCUCUAAUUUUCUAUGGUUGACCUCGGAUCAGGUAGGGAUACCCGCUGAACUUAAGCAUAUCAAUAGGCGGAGGA